rnacentral:rRNA from 1 species
AUUGAACGCUGGCGGCAGGCUUAACACAUGCAAGUCGAACGAGUGGCGGACGGGUGAGUAAUGUCUGGGAAACUGCCCGAUCGAGGGGGAUAAAUACUGGAAACGGUAGCUAAUACCGCAUACCCUCGGAUGUGCCUAGCUGGGAGUCGCUGGUUGGGGGGGUAACGGCUACCCUAGGCGGCGAUCCCUCGCGGGUCUGCGAGGAUGACCGGCCACACGGGAACGGGAAACAGGUCCAGACUCCUAGGGGAGGCAGCAGGGGGGAUUAUUGGAAAAUGGGGGAAAGCCGAAUGAAGCCAUGCCGCGGGUGUAAAGAAGGUCUUCGGAUUGUAAAGCACUUUAAGUUGGGAGGCGUUACCAGAAGAAUAAGCACCGGCUAACUACGUGCCAGCAGCCGCGGUAAUUC